rnacentral:tRNA from 1 species
CCGGGUGUAGCGCAGAGGCAGUCGCGCCCCAUUGCUUAUGGGAUUCACGCCGGUUCGAAUCCGGCCGCCCGGG